rnacentral:pre_miRNA from 1 species
AGUAGAAUUGCUGGAUCAUAGGGUAUAUGUAUUUCAGCUGUAAAAGAUAUUACCAAGAAGUUUUCCAAAGUGGUUGUAUCAUUUUCUGCUCCAAUCAACAAU